GGACUACCCGGGUAUCUAAUCCUGUUUGCUCCCCUUGCUCUCGCGCCUCAGCGUCAGGAAUAAGCUAGAAAACCGCUUUCGCCACCGGUGUUCUUCCACAUAUCUACGCAUUUCACCGCUACACGUGGAAUUCCGUUUUCUCCGCCCAUCCUCUAGAUCAUCAGUUUCAAAUGCAGCUCCGAAGUUGAGCUCCGGAAUUUCACAUCUGACUUGAUAAACCGCCUACGCGCCCUUUACGCCCAAUAAUUCCGAUUAAUGCUUGCACCCUCCGUAUUACCGCGGCUGCUGGCAC
rnacentral:rRNA from 1 species